UUGCCCAUUUGAGACUGUGUGUGUCUUAAAUGAUUAACACAGGGGGGUAGAAAAAUCUCUCUCAAAAACCUAAAGUAAAGGCAGACUUUUCCUUGCUUUGGAUCCUGUCGGGAGAAACACGU